AUCCUAGUGGGAGGAAAGGGUGGGAGUGAGGAGGAUGAGGGUGUUCAAAGGGACACAGGAGGGGAGAAGGUGGCAUCUGAUUGAAUUCUUUUGGAUGUUUAUUUAGCCUUUGUUCUGUUUGUAAUAGAAGUUCUUUAAACUCAUGUCCUGCACUCUAACUUCAUUUUCCCCUGUGACAGGUACAUCAGUAUACACCAAGACUGUCUGAUUUUUUUAGAUAAGUCUGCAGAGCAAGGUGGCCCCAAAUACCCCAGAAGACUUACUAGAACCAAGCUGGGCGGCCCCCCUCGGGUUUCUGAAUCAGUCUGUCAAGGACAUGGGCAAGGUCUGAUGAUUUGCGUGUCUAACAAGUUCCCAGAUGAUCCUUUCCCCACUGGACUGGGGGAACAAUCUGAAAGCCUCUCAGAAAUGCCAAUCUGACUGUUAAGGUAGAUGUAAUUGUCAUUGACCGAGAACUUGAUUGGCUGUGUCUGCCUGCUAGUAACUGAUCUGGCCAUAGGAAAGAGGCAGGGACCCUGAGAAUAUAUGGGAGAAGAAGGGAUUGCUCCUUUUUAUUCCCUUCCAUCACAGGCCCAGAUACCACGUGUAAAGGAAGGAGACAUAACAGGCAAAGUCACUGACUGGGCAGGUACUGUAUUCUGACCUACAGACAAAUAGCCCUUCCCAUCCCAGAAUUCCUUUAGUCAGAAUAUGGCUACUUGUUUGGGAAUUCACUCUCCCUCAGGGUGACCAACCAUCCCAGUCUUUCCAGUUUAAAAACAUAGACUUCUGGCUAAACCCGGACACUGUUCACCCUACCUCCCCUUUGGUUUAGCAGAAUCUAGGUCAAAAAGGUCAUACUGUUGAUUCAGAUGUACAAAUAUAAUGAAGGUAAAUAUUGGUUCAGGCUCUGCACUGCCCCCCCCCCCCGUACCCCUGCCAAGAAAAGAGGGAGAUAAGGUGUGUGGGCAGGUCCGUCUCCAUUUAUGAUCCCCAGCUUGUCAUCGCCAAGCUCUAGACAACUUUGGAACUGAACCCAUUUUUCUUUGUUGACUAAUAGUGACAUUUUCUUUCCUCUUUCUUUAUGGAAGAAACUUGCUGAACUUGAAGUAAUUUUUAAAAAUAAAUUAGAAGAGCCAAAUACCUCCACCGUUUCAUGGCAACCUAUAGUUUCUCCUUGACCUUGACCCUGAGUUUCUAGCUUGGUAUUUAAUGACCAACCAGUUGAUCUGGUGAAGAGGCCACAGUGAUAGCAUAGUGACGAACUACGUCCUACAGCUUUCUGUUAAUUGUUGUUUUCUUGUGUUUUUCUUCUUCCACUCCACACCGUUGUCACCGUGUUCCAGCCAAACACACACUUGUUUUGAUUUCUUCCUUACUGCUUAGUCUAUUUAUAUCAGGGGACCCUGGAAAGUGUGCAAGAUAACCUCACUAGAAAGCUAAAUUAUUUCUAAAGAGAAACACCAUCUGAUCUGCCAACCCCAUGGAAAAAUAUUAACUGUUAUUCAUUUGCCGCCCUAAAUCUUUCCCCAGAGUGCUUGAAAUCACAGAGAUGAGCUGCCCUCGCUCCUUAUUCACCGUUGGAAUUUAUGUCUAAAUACAUUGGAGACCUGGGAAAAUAGAACAAAAAAGUCAUUGCAAUCUAUCCAACGAGACCGAGGAGGGCAAAGGUGUGCCUGUGCAUGGGUGUAUAUUUUCAUGGAAAAAUGAAACUGGCAGCCUGCUCAGUGGAAAAGUCGAUGCUUUCUGGGUCGAGAUUUUCCCAGGAGUAAAAAUGCCCCAAUCAGGGGCUUCCUGGUUUCGUCACUUUCUGCUCCUCUUUUGAGGCUGCUCUGGGCACCCUUCUCCAGGACUGGCCUUCCUGACUCCACCCCCAGAGUUCCCUGGAGCCCUCCAAGCUGCAUUUAUUCUGCACCCAUGUUUACCCUUCUAACAUAGCCAUGGAGUCAUCUGGGUGUGUAUUUGUCUCCCAAUUCGGCUGCAAACCCUUCCAGGUCAAGGUGCAGGAUCCAGUCAUGGCGGGCACCUUGUCACCUCAGGCUGGCCUUGGCACCCGGAAUGUGUUUGUUGACUGAAUGACUGUUAUGCUUGGAGCAGUUUUAGUGAUUCCAAGCACAACUCAGUCAUUUGUAUAAAAUUUAUUGUGUUUAUUUUAAUAUUGUAAAUGGGAAGUGGGCCACGUCCAGAGAUUCUCAGUGUUCCACCCUGUGACAGGCAUUCUGGGCGCAGGCCUACCUGAAGGUUAAAUUGGCCACAACUUGAGAGAUAGGAUAUUGAACAUGAGGCGGGAAAGACGAUUGGUUUGCCUGAUGUCACUCAUAGUUCAUACACACUUGCCUCACUCCCACUGGUCCCAUAGAACCCAGAGCUGCAGGAAGUAAACCGAUCAGGAAGAUCGUCCCUCUUGCUGCCUACACCCCACCCCCGGCCUCUUUCCCGCAGAAGCUGGAAGGCAGCGACAGUCGGAGAGACAGAUGUUUCUUCUCACCCUAUACGCCUUUGCCAGGGAUGAUGUUCAAAACGGUGCCUUUGUGCCCUCGGAGAGAGGUCUUGGCCCAGCUCAGCCUUUCAGGCUCACUGCUUCUGCAUUAAUCUCACCUAAAUACUAUGGUAAACGGCAGAAGGAACGGAGAAUGUUUUCGUCUGGAAACCCUCACUUUGUUGCAGGUGUGAAGAUAGAACUAUGUGAAGACCACAUGUUUAGAAACUGAGUCAUAUUUAAAAUGCACUGGAGAGGGUGCCUUCAAAGUCGGCCGUUUAAGGGAGAUAUUUAUACUAUCUCAGUCACGUCUUCACUAACAGAGUUUCAAUCCAUAAUUUCUCUCCUGUGAAGAUCCAAGUUGUCACAAAUGUCGCAAACUGAGUUUGCUCCAAGCCUUUAAGCACAAGAACUGCUCGAGGUCGGCUGCACAUAACAGAGAAGUGGAUGAAGGUCGAUGUGCUGGGAGGCCUCGAGGGCACGUGGGCUUCCCAGCUUCAGCUUUUCCUCCACCGUCUGUCUCUAGAGACCCUCCUCCCACCCCACCUCUCUGCCCCUCCCUCCUGGCUCCUCCCCAACCUGGAUGAACGAAGGAAAGAACUGAACGAACAAAGGAGAGACCUCCCAAACAGGACUCCCUUCUUCAGAAGGGGUGGGCCCGCUGCUAGGGUUUGAUGAGGAAGGUUGAGACAUAGAAAGAGAAGAAGAGAAAAGGGGAACGGUUUCCUGGGCCAGAAAGCAGCAGGGCAGAGUUCAGCCACCUGGGACCUACGUCCGGGCGGAGAGGGGACUCAGUGUGACGUGUGACGGUGCACACACAGCCCUUGUCACAGUCUGUUCCACUUUUCCCUCCACACCAACCCUGUGGUCAACGCUACCAGGCCUCCACUUCUCACACAGGCCUGUGGAACGCUGGAAGGUGUUCAAACAGAGGCGCGGUAUAAGGGGCCAUCUACUCUGUGUGACAUUGCAGAAGCACUCGGAGCCCGAUUUGUGCCAGAAAGAGAGGAGAGAGUCGAGAGGAUAUUCAGCUUAUCAGCUGCCACUGCAAGAGUUUCCUGUUACACACUUCCCAACAUUCUGACCCUUCCGGUGUGACGAUUCCCAAGGCUGUUCCUGUACCGAACCCAAACCUUGCACACUCCAUGUCUCCUGUGCAAUGUAGGGCCAGGAUCCACGUGACCAGGAAGGUGGGUGACGCUGUGAUUUAUUGCCCAUUCUUUCAUAUGGGAGAGCCCAGUGGUUUCAGGCACAACAACAGUGCUCUCUGCGAUGCCCGCCCCGUGAAGACAAAUCCAACCACCGUGCACCUGCAUUGGGUCCCCGAGGGGGCAUGCAAGUCACUUGGAUGCAUGGCUGGCAUGGAAAAUGUCAGGCAGCUCCUCUCAAAACUCUAAAUAUCCAGGUGUUUUCAGUAGUGUAGUCAAAACACCUGAGUACUGUCCUGAACCACACAGCUGUGAAUCAGAUGUUGAUUUCCUGCAGCCACAGAAGGGCAACUCUGGACAACGUCCUGACAUUUACUUUAUGCCUCUUUUUAAUUUAUUUUUUUAAAUUACUUCCUUAAUCCUACCCUGGGAAUAUGUUUAUCAGUUUGAGAGAGACAGAGAGAGAGAGAAACAUUGGUUGCUUGCCCUGCAUGCCCCGACCAGGAAUCAAACCUGUGACCUUUUGGUGUUUGGGACAACACUCCAACCAACUGAGUCACCAGGCCAGGGCUGUGUCUCUUCUCUAGAAAUUGAUUCUGAUUUUUAUCUUUGCCAUGAAAGAAAAGCUUUUGACCUCGACCAGUCUUUCUCCUUAUUUUGUUGACUGACUCAUCUCAAAGAAGAAGAGUUAAGAACUGUUUAACCACCACGACCACCAAUAAACAGCAAAACAAGUGUGAAGUCAGAAGCCCCAGAGCCCAACCCACAACCUUGCUGUGGUCUGGCCAAGCCGCAUCCCUCCAACCUCAGCCUGUUCACCUGCGCACUGGUGUGAUAACCCAUCUUGGAAACUGCUUAGGAGAAGUCAGCGAGGUGCUGUGUGAAGCAAUUGGAAACUAUGUGGACCUCACAUCACACUUCUGCUCAUAGACCAUCUAGGUAUCUGCUCUCCAACCUGGAAGAGAAGAAGCAAUGAAGGACAUGCACCCAGAGACACCGAGCUUGGCUCUCACUCUAGUACCUCUGUCAUCCAGACACAAUGGAGCUGAGGGUUCUAGAAGUUGGCGUGUUGGAAAUGCUGUACCCCCAAGGGCCUUCUGUGGCCUCUCGGGACAGUAAAUGGCUUGCCCUGAGGGUGAAUUCUGCUCAGUCCUGACCCCGUUUGGCUGUCCCUUUCAUCGUUCUCGAUUAAAGACAUCUCUCUGAACACUUAGAGGGUUAGGGGUACCGUGACAUCGCUUAGUUUUUUGGUUUUCUUUCUUUCCUUCCUUCCUUUACAAAAAAGAACAUAAAAAUUAUUUUUGGUGAAGUCUAUUGAGGUCUGACAUACAUCUACUAAAAUUCUUCUUUUUUAGUGAACCGUUCUAUGAGUUUUGACAAACACGUGUUCUCAUGCAACCACCACCAUGAUGAGCCUACAGAACUGUUCCAUCACCUUUCCAAAUGCCUCUCUCCCAUGUGUGGUCAACCUCUCCCCUUAAUCCGGCCCCUGGCAAUCACUGAUGGAAUUUCUGUCUCUGCAGUUCGGCCUUUCCAGAAUGUUAUGCGAAGAUCAUCCUGCAGUUUGCCGCCCUUUGUGUCUGGCUUCUUUCACUUAGCAAGAUGCAUUUGACACCUGUCCAUGUUGUUACAGGUAUCGGUAUUGCUGCAGCCAGGAACCCAAUGCAGGGACGCACCACAGUUUCUAUGUCCAUUCACCGGCGGACAGACACUCCACGCUUUAGUGAUUACAAGUAAAGGCCUCAACACUUGUGAAGUAUUUUAUACGUAUAGACCAUUAGAUAUUUUGCUUUAAAAGAUGCAUUUAAGUUUGGCCCAGGUGAACAGAGACUGAGAGACUUGGGGGACCCCUGGGGAGAGGAGAUGGUACGUUUCCCGCAUCAGCCCACCAGGCCCAGCCCAGGCCCACCAGGGGCUAGUUGGAGCAAGACGCUGUCACUGUUUUCACUGAGGACACUUGUCGCACAGAAAUAAAAUUAACUCGAUUUUUCUGAGCCCCUGGGGAAGAACAUGAGGACACGAUGACAGCCACCAAUUUAGUGGGCCCACGACUGCGUCGGUGGUUAAAGUAAUAUUUCCAUCGAUCGGGCCAAUACCCCAGCAGGUCAUCUGUACACACCCGAGGGAUUCUUUUUCAAAUCACAGGCCACUGAUCUGGAGCAGGGGGAAAUCCAUGUUUCUCAGUUGAAAUCGUGUUAUUGGGAUCUCUACUGGGCACAGGAUAUCAAGGAGACAGUGAUUGUGUGCCCACCUGGUGCCCACACUCAGACGAGGGGGGAGCUCACAGAGAGGACCGUGUUCCAGAAUAAGCUGACCUCUAUCAUGUAGACGCCAAUAUGAAUGUGCUUCAUGGCAGAGGGUUCCACAUUCGGUUCUGGACAAUUUUUCAGGAUCAGCAGACUGAAGAAGAAUGUGCAGCUAAAACGCAGUGUUGUAAAAGUGUGAGUCCUGUACUCCACUCUUCUAAUUAUGUGGGGGGGGGCAAGCAGAUCUGAAGUGUUAUUUCAGUGGGGGGACGUGUUUGCAGUUCCGAACUAACUUACAAACACAGCCUGAAUGCAGCCCGUGCACAAUGAGGCGUUAGACACGAUCAAAGGCAAUGCUUUACCCCACGGCUGGGUUUGUUAGUAUCCAUUGGGUCAUCCAAAGUUCACGUGUCAUCAGUACCACUAACUGGCAUUGAGACCCCAACGAUAUUAAUAACAGUAAUAACAAUACCAAUACCAGUGAGAAGAGCUAACUCCCCUUGGGGGAAAUGGAUAUUAGAAUGGACACCAAAUUCACCAGGGGUACUAACUUGCCUCCUUCCUGUGUUCAGCAGGAUAGGAGUUAGGGAGGGCAUGAACCCAGACUAGACUCCACACGACUGUUUUCUAGGUGUCAUUGAGCAAGCCAUAUGAUCUCUUUAAGCUGUGUGUCUUUAUCUGAAAAUGGGAUGGUUAAUAGGGCUACUUCAUAACCCUGUUAUACGAAUUACCUGAAAUAAUGAACCUGUUUAACCUAGUGCCUGGUAUGUAGCAAGUACAAAAUAAAUAUUAGC